UUGGGUCACUUCGUCUCAAAGAGUCAAAGGCCAAAACGCCGCUAACUGAGCAGUCUGAGCUAGAGAUAUCUCCUCCGUGCUCGACCUUCUUUCUGUCGCUAACUCGCUGGUGAGCCUCUCUCUCUCUCGCUCAGUGGCUCAGUUGCUGUCACUCUCUCUCUCCUUGUCGCUCUCUAUUUCUGUCUGCGGUCUGCGCGCGGCUCAACUCUGGAACCAGAUCAGAACCGGCUCUGCGUGCGGCUCUUUAUUUCUCUCUGGGGCUCUUCGUCGCUCUCUCUUUCUCUCUGGGCGCGCGGCUGAACUCUGAAGCAUAUCGAAAGCUUCUUCGCCCCUCCGCUCCAGUAUCGACUCUUCCUCCACCAUCUUAACCUGCAACUUCACAGCUCCUCCCCUCAGCUUCUCCACGGUAUUUAGAGCAAAGGAGAAGAAAAGAAGCAAAAGAGGGAUUGAAAGCCAAAAUCAGCAAAUCUGCCUGUGCAGAUCAUUCAACUUCGACAAAGUACUGAGAGCAUCUCAGGAUGAUCCAGAUAAUGAUCUUUAUAUUCAGAGAAAGCCUCGGAUAUCUAGUUUCCAAAACUUUUUACGGUUCGUGAAUAUGAUUUUUUUAGAAGAAGAUAUGACGAAUUUAGUACAAGGAGGUCAGGCUGCACACGAAUUUGAGUCCAAAGAAGGAAAGAUUGUCUCCUAGAGCUAUAAGGGAAGAAGAAUUAAAAGUCCUUCUUUAAUUAGAGAUCAAAUUCCUUAGUUCUUGGAAGAGAAGAAGUCUUGACGCAAUAACUAUAUAAAAAGGGGCAAUUACUAAUUGUAUGCAUUUCAAAAGCACAAUUAUAACAUUAUUAGUACGACCUAGGGAUUGGGGUCGUCUCUCACCAGGCCACCUCCAUGGGCGAGCCUCCUCUAGUCUGCCCGUGGAGUUUUCUUCAGCCAUUCUCUGACACAAGAUCUCCUUCUUCUACAUCUGAACAGAAAAUUCACAAGGCAAAGACCUUUGCAUCCAUUGUUGCAGGUUCGGAGGGAACCCAAGCUCCUAUCAGCCAGCUACCAGCGCCAACAAUUCGUGGAGACACGGUUUAUGUGAAGAUCAAUGAGAGAAUCUAUCAAGAACAAUUAUCAGCCUGCCGAAAUAAUUUGAUCGGUCGAUUGCUACUCCGUAAGGGCACUAUUCCAUUGAAAACUGAAACUCUAAAGUCUUCUCUGCAUACUCUUUGGGGUCCGUUGGGUCCGUGGUGUCUGGUCCCCAUUGGCAAAGGGUAUUUUGACAUUCAAUUCAAUUCUGAAGCAGAUAUGUGCAAAGUUUGGGGCGGUGGGACUUGCACUCUCGAAUCUGGGAUUUUUCGUCUGUCUCAAUGGAAACCUAAUUUCAGGCCAGGUGAUGUGCUUCCCCAAACACAUGCACAAAUCUGGGUACGUAUUUCAGGCCUUAGUCAGGAGUAUUGGCACCAACAACUGAUAGGAGCAUUUUAAUGUGGUACAUUGGAGUAGAUGAUGAUGAAAUAAGUGUUAGGUCCAUAAAAUGAUGGAGAAAAAUGGAAAUGCACUAAAAAGGUCAACUUUACACAUUUUCCUACUCCGGCUAGGAGAAACCAAGCCAAGCAAGGAAGAAGGAGCGACCACCUGACAAAAUGAACUUCAAAUGAGCUGAAACCUUCUAGAUCCAUUCUAGACAUCCUAAGAAACAUUUUUUAUGAAGAGUGGAAGGCCUUCAAACAGUCAGCCCAAUUUUUUGCAUAAGCAAAAUUGGAAAACUGGACCUGUAAGGAGUCCAGCAGUGAUUCCAGCCCAUAGGAAUGGAAAAAAGUUCUGAAAAUUUGACAGCAUGAUCUACACUCAUGGUGGAUCAUUUCAUAUGAAGAAGUCACGGGUAAAAUCUGAAGUCUUGGUAGAGAAUUAAUUGAAGGAAAAAUGAGUAGAAAGUGACUAAAACCUAACAAAUUCCAUUAGUGUUUAAAUAUUCAAACCUAACAAAUUCCAUUAGUGUUUAAAUAUUCAAACCUAACAAAUUUCAUUAAUGUUUAAAUGCUUAAACCUAACCCAUCAUCAUUUGUUUAAGGCCAAAUAGUUUUGCUUGGUAGCCUAUAAAUAGAGGCUACAACAAAGAAGAAAAACACAUUCCUUCAUCCAUUUCAUCUUCUUUGUCUCUCCAUUUCCUUUCCAUUUUCCUUAACAUUCCUUCAUCCAUUUCAUCUUCUUUGUCUCUCCAUUUCCUUUCCAUUUUCCUUAACAUUCCUUCAUCCAUUUCAUCUUCUUUGUCUCUCUAUUUCCUUUCCAUUUUCCUUAACAUUCCUUCAUCCAUUUCAUCUUCUUUGUCUCUCCAUUUCCUCUCCAUUUUUCUCUAGUUCUUAGUUUCAUUUCAUUCUCUAGCCUUCUAGUUCUGCAUUUUCAAGUAAAGAGGAGAAGAAGAAGGAGCCGUGAAGAUCAUAUCCUCCAUCGUCCACCUUGAAGGCUUGCUUCCAAGAUUCAAGAUUCUAACGUUUCAAGCUCUCCAUCUCCAUCUCCAACUCACGGUGUAAUUCUAUCUUUUUCCUUGUAAUUUCUUUUGGUUUUCUUUGUUUGGAUUUGUAGAACUAUGAAUUGUAGUUAACAAUAACGUUUAGGGCAAAGUUUAAGCCCAAUUUCUAUAUUUGAAUAAAGAUUUCGAA